rnacentral:rRNA from 1 species
GUUUAAGACCCCUGGUGUCCACCCCAUAAACGAUAUCUACUAGCCUUAGGGGUCCUUGAGCCUUUAGUGGCGCAGUUAACGCAUUAAGUAUACCGCCUGGGGAGUACGUUCGCAAGAUUAAAACUCAAAUGAAUUGACGGGGGCCCGCACAAGCGGUGGAGCAUGUGGUUUAAUUUGACGCAACGCGAAGAACCUUACCAGGUCUUGACAUCCAGAGAACUUUCCAGAGAUGGGUUUUUCCUUCGGGACCUGUGAACAGGUGCUGCAUGGUUGUCGUCAGCUCGUGUCGUGAGAUGUUGGGUUAAGUCCCGUAACGAGCGCAACCCUUGUCCUUAGUUGCCAGCACGUAAUGUGGGCAAUUUUAAGGAGACUCCCGGUGCCAAACCGGAGGAAGGUGGGGAGGACUUCAAUUCUUCUUGGCCCUUUGGCCUUGGCUUCCCCCCUUGUUCAAAUGGGCAGUCCAAAGGGUGGGCAAUCCGCGAGGGGGAGCUAUUCCCAUAAAACCGUUCUUAGUCCGGAUUGCAGUCUGCAACUCGCCUCCAUGAAGUCGGAAUCGCUAGU